UACAGAGGUCUCAACCGUUGUUCGGAUUCAUUGGGCGUAAAGGGUGCGUAGGCGGUCGCGCAAGUCGGAUGUGAAAUCUCAGGGCUCAACCCUGAAACUGCAUUCGAUACUGCGUGGCUAGAGUGCUGGAGAGGAGACUGGAAUUUACGGUGUAGCAGUGAAAUGCGUAGAUAUCAAGUGGAACACCAGUGGCGAAGGCGAGUCUCUGGACAUUUCCUGACGCUGAGGCACGAAAGCCAGGGGAGCAAACGGG
rnacentral:rRNA from 1 species